GGGUUAUAACUGAACAGUUGAAGGUCUAAGGUUGCCACCACCGUCAAACUACAUUUCCCAUAAUGCACCAACAAAAUGGCUGCUGAUCACAAAUGAAAACACCUGAACAGGAAUGGUAGCUCAGUCUUCAAACAAGCCAAGGAACAGCACAGCAAGCUCUAUUCAAGAGUUUACUCCAAAGACACCAAUGGUUGGUAAAUGUUAUUAGGUUAUAUUAGUUAAAAAGAACUAAAAUGCAAAAGCUUUCAUUUUGAUUUGAUUGUCUGUUUGACGUUUGAUUGUCUUUAUUACAUUUGAUGUUUAACUGUUCUGUUGUUUGAAGCGAGCAUUUAAUGAAAUUUAUUAUUUGAUUUAACUUAAUUCACUAGAUUAAUUUUAUUAAUUCAUUUGAAAUACUUAGAAUGGUUCAUUUGUUUACCUUAAUUUAAUUAAUAUAAUCUAAAAAGCUCAUGUAUUGUUUUAACAUCUUACAGAAUGACAUGGUGAAACCUCUGUGUCUGUGCUUUGUAGGUUAUCAACCUGACGGUUCAAACAUUGGUUGAUUAACUUGAAACCAACAAGUCUAAGUUGGUAAAUAAAACUCAACGAAAGGUGAAUCAAGAGUUGUCCCGGAGUGUCCUUUUGGAGUGGAACUAGAGUGGAACUUAACAGUUGAUAACCAACGGAGCAGCCUGGAGUGGAAGAUAAAGGGCUUCAUACCAGAUAAGCUGUGGACGGAAAAAGGAAAUAAAGAUGGCUGAAGAGGUCUUGGGGAAGACUGUCAAACUACUGAAGCAGGAGAGGACCAUUGCAAAGAGCAGCUUCACCAAACUGGCCAACUUCAUUUCAAGGGGAGCAAACACCAUGCUGAGAGCUGAAUUAAAGGAGGAAUUUGGAAAACUUUCAGACCGGUUCAGGUCAGUGCUUGAUUCUAAUGAGGACUACAGGAUCGGACUGGAUGCUGACGUCAAGGCGGCGGAUAAUGAAGCAGAACUUGAUAAGCAGCAAGAAACUGACAUAAAGACAACCAUAAAAGAUGCAGAAAUUAAAAUGGAGGAAGUAAGGGACAUUGUACAAACUAACAUGUGGGGAAGAUAUGGAAAGAACGAACUUAGAACAUCGAUUCUUGAAGCAGAAGAAGCAAUUGAUGAAGCUGACAGAGUUCAAGUCAGAAGUGACAAUCUAGAAGGCUAUGAAGGUCACCUCACCUUAUUGGAAGAAAAGAUAAACGCAGCCAUCUCAGCAAUGUCUGAGUGGGAGAGAUGGAUCCCCGAAUCAUCAAAAGAUGAACUGGCUGGGAGACUUAAAGAACUGAGAGCAACCCACAACAGGCUACAAUUGAGAAAAGCAGAGUUUGCCAUAUCAAGGAGGCUGGCUGAUCAAGGCACAAGUGGGAAACCUGUCCAACCACCACCACCUGUUGUGAAGAUAAAACCAACUACUCUGCCUGUCUUCCAGGGAAGUAAGAGAGAGUUCCACAGGUGGAGAAAGGACUGGGAGAGCCUGCAAAGGCAGGGGGAGCCCACUGGCUCACCUGAAGUUCUGAAGAUUCAGCUUCUGGAGAGUGUGAGCGAGACCAUUGCAAAAGAAUUAAGACUUUCAACCUAUACAACAGCAGCUGACAUGUUCAGGGUCCUGGACAAUAGAUACGGCAACAAGUCCACCAUUACAGUUGAAAUCCUCGAAGAACUAGAGAAUAUGCCUCCAGUGAAGGGGAACCAGCCGAGGAAAGUCAUUGACCUGAUUCAAUCUGUGGAGAAGGCACUGGCAGAUCUGACAGAGCUGGGGAACGUGGGAGCCAUGAAAAAUCCAUUAGUCAUCAAGUCCAUUGAAAGCAAGUUACCCGACUUCAUAAAAAGAGACUGGCUAAUGUUCCUGGUCAACCCUGAAAAUAAUGUCACUGCAGAUACUCACUUUGACAUGCUCUUGAAAUUCCUGAAGAAUCAAGAAGAGAUACUGGAGAGACUUGAACAACUUAAAAUUGUGGACAAGAUAGACAAGCCAGAGAAAAGGCAUGAAAGAAAGACUGCAUCAACCAGAGCUACAAAGAAAGAAGUUGAUGAGGGCUGUGGUGUCUGUGGUGAUCGUGGACACAGCAAAAAGGUCUUCUUCUGCAAGAAAUUUAAAGCUUUGAAACUGUCCGAAAAGAAGUCUGUUCUAAAGAAACUGGGAGCAUGCAGCAAAUGCUUAGGGUACCAUGAUGAUGACGGAUACUGCAGGGAAAAUUUUUUAUGCAGGAAUACAGACUGCAAAACGGGAGGAACUGGUCCAGACCACCAUUAUUUCCUGUGCCCAAAAACUGAAUCCAGAAGAGGAGAAGGGGGUAAAGGUGGAAGAGAUGAAAGAAGUAAAGGGAAGUUCACAGAGGAACAGGAGAAGUUCUUGUCACAACUUUCCCCAGAACUAGCAGAGCAAUGUCGAAAGGCAUUCACUAACAGGUCCUCAGUGACACUCAAAACAGCAGGCCAGUCUGAGCUACUGAAGAAGAAUGGGCUGAUUGAACUUCCAGUGAUCAUGAUGCUGAUGCAGGUGACGGCGAACGCAGGUCAAAAGAUUGGUACCCUCAUUGACCUAGCAUCUGACACCAAUUACAUAACCCACAAAGCUGCUGAAAGAUUGGGCCUGAGGAGUGAAGAGAUAACCCUGGUCAUACAUGGGGUUGGUGGAAUGACUAUGCGAGUCAAUACAAGAAGGUACCUCCUAAAGGUCAGAGUCAAGACUCCAAAAGGGACUGAAAGAGCACAUCAACUAGUCUGCUAUGGCCUGGAUGAAAUUGCUAAGGUAUAUCAAACAAUUCAGCCUGAGAAGUUAAAAAGAUUCUUCCCAGAUGUCCAGCUCGAAGACCUGAAGAGACCAGCCGAAGUCGAGCUUCUCAUAAGCCACCGUGAGGGAAGACUUGCACCUCAAAGAGUCAAAGUCAUCGGAGACCUUGUUUUGUGGGAAAGCCCAUUGGGGAAAACAGUGGGCGGAGCCCAUCCUGACUUAUUUGAAGAAGUGGAGGUGGCAGCAUAUGAGUCAAGAACCCAUUUCGCUCGCUCCAUGCGAACCGCUGCUGUCAGAUAUCAGGAGAUCACAGUUCCAACAACCAAACCAGGCUGGCAACUGCAGGAAGAUGCGCUGUCCAAAUUUACAUCUGCCAGUAACCGUGGGUUCCUUGAGUGGUGGCACUGGGACAGCAUCGGAGCCGCAUGCGAACCAAGGUGUGGAGGAUGUCGAUGUGGAAACUGCUCACCAGGAGGAAGAGACAUGACCUUAGUAGAGGAGAGGGAGCUUGAGAUCAUUAAAGGAGGCCUCACCUACAAGGAAAAGGAUGCUCACACACCUACACCACACUGGGAUGCAAAGUAUCCUUGGACUGAAUGUCCUACAUCUCUCCCUGAAAACAAAAGGGCAGUCCAGGCUUGCUUCUUAAGGAUGGAAAAGCAACUAAGCAAGGAACCAGAAUGGAAAGUCGCUUAUGCAACCCAAAUCCAUGAAAUGGUCGAAAGAGGUGUAGCCAUGAAACUCACCAGUGAAGUCAUGGAGAAGUGGACGGGACCAGUGUGGUAUGUCAGCCACUUGGUGGCGCCUAACCCUCAUUCAGUGACAACACCAGUUCGCAUUGUCUGGAACAGUAGCCAGAAAUACAAAGGGGUAAGCAUGAAUGAUCUUCUUCUAAAGGGACCAGAUGUCCUUAACCCCAUCAGAGCCAUCCUACUAAGAUUUAGAGAAGGCGUGCAUGCAGCUCUAGGAGACGUAAAGAAGAUGUAUAACUCUGUCUGGUUGGAGGAGCGUGAGAUGCAUCUACACAGAUUCCUGUGGAGAGACAGCCCAGAAAAGGAGAUCUGUGAAUACGCAAUCACCAGAGUUAACAUCGGUGACAAACCCGCUGGUUGCAUUGCACAGUUGGCUAUGAGGGAGACUGCGAACCUGCCCAAAUUCACUCACUUGGUGGAUGAACGAAGAGUUAUCGAAGAAGACAGUUAUGUGGAUGACCUCUUAACCUCCCACAAUGACCUGCACAGACUUGACAACAUCACAGCAAAUGUUGAAGAGAUUCUAAAAGCUGGAGGCUUCUUCCUUAAACCAUGGGUCCGGUCAGGGCAAAGUGGGAGGAAAGGAGCUGAAGCUGAUGUCCUAAGCCAGGAGCAAAGGAAAACCUUAAUUCUUCCAAACCAAAUGAGGGAAGGGGACAACAAAGCCUUGGGCAUUGGCUACCAAGUGGAUGAGGACAAGCUCUACAUGCUGACCGCUGUGAACUUUUCUAAAAGGAAGAAGAAAAUGCGAGUUGGCAAAGAUCUUCUCGAAGAGGAGGUGAGAACUGAAACACCUAACCCACUGACUAGAAGAGCUCUCUUAAGCCAAGUUGCUGCACUGUAUGACCCAAUUGGCCUAGUUGCACCGGUCAAGCAGAAAGGAGCGAUUCUUGUUCGUAAAGCAUUUCAAAAAGGAGGGGGUGGCAAACUGACCCAAGAAACCUGGGAUCAACCUCUCUCAGAAGGCCUCAGAGAAGAAGCUAUACAGCUUUUCGAAGAAUAUGUGCAGCUUGGUCGAGUGAAAUUCCACAGGAGCCUCACACCAUCUGACUGGAAAGGUAAACCUUGGGGCAUCACAUUCUCUGAUGGAAGUGACAAAACAUACGGAGCUGUCAUGUACUUAAGAUGGGAAACAACUCAAGGCAUUGAAGUCCGGUUAGUGGAAGCCAAAGCCAAACUCACACCCCUGGAUCAAAAGGGAGAUGCUGUGAAGGCAGAAAUAUGUGGCGCAGUCUUUGCAGCUAGGAUCAGGAAGUACGUGGAGAAGCAUGCACGAUUGAAGAUUGAGAGAUGGUUCCAUCUACUGGACAGUCAAACAAUCCUAGGAGCCAUUCAGCGAGACAAUUAUGGAUACCAAACCUUCUUCGCAAACAGAGUAGGUGAAAUCCAGAAGGCUGGGCCAGUGCAAGACUGGUGGUGGAUUCGUGGAGAUCUAAAUAUAGCUGACAUUAUAACAAGAGGAGGCACUCCUGACGAUUUGAAGGAGUUCCACAUGGCAAAAUGGACCAGAGUUCCUGAUGUGGCCAGUGGAGGAGUGGCCUAUUCAUUCAGCUGGAGAAGUUGCAGCCCAGGCCAGGGAGAGUGUAAACAAGCUUCAAACCAAGGCAUUUUCAGCUGUACUGACCAGAGCUCAAGCCAAAAUGAGUCAACAGAAUGAAGAUCCACUAACCACUCAGGAAAGUCCUUGUCAAGAGGGAAAAUCCACUCUGCCAAGAAUGAGGCCCACUGGCUGGGUUAGACAUCUCGUGAACAUAACACGGUUCAGUAGUCUGACCAAACUGAAGAGAGUAAUUGCCUGGAUCCGUCGAGCUGCCGAGCAGUGGCUGAAGAGGAUUUCAAACCCAAAACGGCCAAAGUGGGACGCAACAACACCCAAGCUGGCUGGAUUGACCAGCAAAGAGCUUGAGGAUGCAUGUGACGACCUCUUACUAGCAGCUCAAGUCGGUGUAACUUUUCCAGAAACAACUCUCAGCAGAUUAGCAGUAUACAAAGAUGUGAACACUGGGCUCCUACUUUGUGGUGGUAGAAUCCAGAUGUUCAAUGAGGAGAAGACUGCCGUGCCAGUUCUGCCAUUUGAAGCAUGGGUGUCUACUCUGCUGGCACGAGAAUCCCAUGAAGUUAACCAUGAGGGUGUAGCAGCAACCCUUCUCCGGAUGAGGAAGACAGCCUGGGUAAUAAAAGGCCGGAGAAUUGCCAAGAAGAUGGUUGACAGUUGUGUGAGCUGCAGGAAGAACAGGGCGAAGCAGUGUCAACAAAUAAUGGCGCAUUUGCCUCCAGAGCGAACAGGCCCAGCUGCUCCUUUCGAAUUCACCACCUUGGAUCUGUUCGGUCCAUAUGAAGUGAAAGAUGAAGUUAAGAAAACAACCAGACUCAAGGUAUGGGGAAUUGUCUUCUGUUGCAUGGCCUCCCGUGCCAUACACACUGACGUGGUAAGUGACCAGUCAUCUGAAGGUUUCCUGCUGGCCUACCAAAGAUUCACGUCACUGAGAGGGCACCCCAGGAAACUUUGGUCAGACCCCGGUACUAACUUUGUUGGAGCCAAACCUGCUCUGGAGAAGCUAUACAAAUUCUUUGACCAACUGGACAGGUCUCAAGUUGAAGACCUAUCUGCCAAGCAUGGAACGGAAUGGUCUUGGAAGAUCCACCCCUCAGAUUCUCCGCAUAGAAAUGGUGCAGCAGAGGCGGCUGUCAGAAUAGUGAAGCGGGCUCUAAGCAACCUUGGUGGAGAUGGUGUUUUCACCUGGGGUGAAUUCCAAACCUUUCUCUUCAUGGCAGCCAACCUUGCUAACGAAAGACCUAUUGACGCCAGGACUCAAAGUAGGGAAGACUGUGUAGAGUACAUUACCCCAAAUUCUCUGCUUUUAGGGCGUGCAAACCCAAAGGGAGACCCUGGAGACUUCCAGUUCGAUGGCUAUCCAUAUAAAAGGCUUAAAAGUAUCCAAACAGAAGUCAGCAAGUUCUGGAAGAAGUGGAGCCAAUUGGCUGGACCAAACCUGUUUGUACGGAACAAAUGGCACACUAAAGAGCGAAAUGUUGCUGUUGGAGAUGUGGUCUGGUUGGCUGACCAAAAUGCUCUGAGAGGACAGUACAGACUGGCCAGAGUUGUCAGCGUCAACACUGACAACAAAGGCAUUGUAAGAGAUGUGCUUGUGAGGACCUUUCCCAGCUAUCCUGUUCCCAUCAGAAAGGCAGCUGGAAAGGAGCCGGCCGCAGGAUCCAACAGGGUUAAACAUAAAAUCCCGGCCACAACCCUUCAUAGAGAUGUAAGGCGCCUUGUCAUUCUGAUUCCCAUUGAAGAACAAGAGUGACGGACUGGUGUGACCUCAUUGGGUUUGAGAAACCAUGAGCUCAAGUGGGAGGUGUUGGGUUAUAACUGAACAGUUGAAGGUCUAAGGUUGCCACCACCGUCAAACUACAUUUCCCAUAAUGCACCAACAAAAUGGCUGCUGAUCACAAAUGAAAACACCUGAACAGGAAUGGUAGCUCAGUCUUCAAACAAGCCAAGGAACAGCACAGCAAGCUCUACUCAAGAGUUUACUCCAAAGACACCAAUGGUUAUCAACCUGACGGUUCAAACAUUGGUUGAUUAACUUGAAACCAACAAGUCUAAGUUGGUAAAUAAAACUCAACGAAAGGUGAA